AGCAGUCGCCGCGGUAAUACGGAGGGGGCUAGCGUUGUUCGGAAUUACUGGGCGUAAAGCGCACGUAGGCGGCUUGGUAAGUUAGAGGUGAAAGCCUGGAGCCCAACUCCAGAAUUGCCUUUAAGACUGCCGAGCUAGCAGGUGAGAGAGGUAAGUGGAAUUCCGAGUGUAGAGGUGAAAUUCGUAGAUAUUCGGAAGAACACCAGUGGCGAAGGCGGCUUACUGGCUCAUACUGGACGCUGAGGUGCGAAAGCGUGGGGAGCAAACAGGAUUAGAUACCCCUGUAGUCCCUGUCUCUUAUAC
rnacentral:rRNA from 1 species